UACUCAACCGACUGAGCCACGCAGGCGCCCCUGGCCCAGACCCUCAGUGGAUUGCUUGCUGGCGGACUCUGAAGCGUAUUAACGCGUCCAGCCCCACCACGGCCCUGAGGCUGGUGCCUCCUCCACAUCUGCAGACGAGGACAGACCCGCUGAGGGACCGGCUCAAGAUGAUUUGGCUGAUAAGCAUUGGAAACAAAACUUGAACGUUCUCUCUCCCAAGCCUGUGCUUUUACCCCAUGCGACAGACCGAUGCCUGGAACACUGUUGGCGCCAAAUAAACCUUAGUGUAAUGA